rnacentral:lncRNA from 1 species
CUCAGGUUGCCUAGCAUAAGCUCCGAGACAGUCACGUCGGUCUGGGGGCAAAUAGUAGAAGCUGGAUUGGAGACAUCUUUCUCGAUGAAGAGGCCUGUGUCAAAGUAGGAGCCUCACCCACGUAGCUUGAGAUGCUCCCUACAAUGGAGGACUAAUGCGUCGCAGGAGAGACAACCUGAGCCCCCAGAGCCUCACCUUGAAGAUACUGCAAUUGAGCCAAUCCAGCUUUCAAAACCUUCCUCCUCUUUCUUGUGACCC